UGGUAUUUCCACAUCAUUUUUCCCCAGAAACUAACCAGUUCCAGACUGAAUUCUCUGUGUCUGGAGCACUGGCCUGAAUGUCUCUCAACCCCCAUCCCUACCCCAGGGUGGAAACAGGGUGGGGCAGGGACCAGAUUAGAUCAGACCAGAGACGGGAAAUUCCCUACCUGAAGGUAUGAAAGAGGGUAUUUCAAUGAGUGGAUCCCACUGCCUGCUAAGAGUCCACAUGGGUAGAGGUAGAGGGGGUUCUGGCUCGGGUCUGAGGGGUCAGUCCCCUGUGGAGCAAGGGAGACAGGCUCUAGUCAGUUCCAGAAGAACUGCCAAGCAACGCAGGCCUCCUCACCUAAAGACUCCUGGCGUCAUCUCCCGACAUGCACUGGGUUCAGAAGGUCCGACUGACCACUCUACAGCCUGCACUGGCUUCGUCCUCUGCAAUCUUUCUGAUUCAGCUUCCAAACCUCUGAGAUUGCAGCUGUGGCUGCGGUCAUGGCUGCAUCCAACAACCACAGGGAGGAAGUGUCUGGGUCCAGCCUCAUGAAUGGGUUAAUGCCUCUCUUGGGAACGGGCUAGCCCUGCAGCUUCCAACUCCUGCAAUGUUAGGAAUCAGCAUGCACCCCUCACUGGGUACAGCCAUCAGAUCCUGGUCUAGUCUCUGCCACUGUGAACCCAGGCUGGAAUCCAGGCAGGCCUUCCCUUGGUCACUGCCAGCCUUACUCUGCAGAACCAUGCAGACCCGAAGAAUCUUCUGAAAGAUGGACACGUCCUCGUCACAGAUGGGGAUAUGGAGGCCACGGAGUGGGGAGAUGGACUUAGCUUCAUACACAGAACAACUGGGCUGGAUGGAACAAGAACUUCUGGCUACUGGCUCCCGUUCCAGAUGACUCCCGGUCCCAAACAAUCAAAGCUCAUGAGGGCCCAAACAGGUGCCCGGGACAACAGAAAAUGCAUUGGUCACAAGACCUCUGGUCAGGAACCACGCCUGGAGCAUCCAGCAACUGCCUCAAAGGUACUCUUAAGUUUCUCAGAGCAGAGGGGUGAGCAGAGAGCACCACUGUAUGUAGGUGCCCAAUAAACAGUCCCUCAGCAGACUGGUCUGCCAGGACCAAGACACCUCAGAAGUAAAGGGACAAAUCGCGUCCUAUGCACAGAGACCUGCAAAGGCAAUUUUGUUAUAGAUUUAUUUGAUAUUUGAACCGAGUCCACAAGUCAGACCCACGUGUAACGGAUUGCUUCAUGGUUGUCAGAGGCUAGUGUGCAGUAUUUCCAAGGGUUACAUCCAAUGUCAUGACGCAGAAAACACAAAGGGACAGAGACAGACGUAAUCGUUAAGACAAGAGACGCUAAAACGUGCCUUAGUGUCCAUGUGAUUGAUCUAAGGCAAGGACCCUUCUAAAGUGGGGACCCUAGUGAUUGAUCUAAAGCUGAGUGGCUUACCGCCACUAGGUGCUAACUGUACUGUGUGCAAACCAGGUGCCCGGUAUGGAAACUGGCCUAGAACCCAAAACCGGGGAAGCUGCCCUCCCAGAGGUGACCUCUCCACACCCAAUCAGGACCAGAUGGUGACAGCCAAUGUAAGCAGCAGCAGAGGCGAGUGGUGGCACUGAGCAAACCCACGACACACGAUGUGGGGACAGAGUCUGGGGGAAGCAGCUGCUCAAGGCUCUUUAACACUGUGCAUGAGUGGCAUCAUGGGGGUGGGGAGGAAGGGAUGGAGCACCGGUCCCCUGGGGAUCAGCCAGCCCAAGUCUCCUCCCUUCUUGGCAGUUCCAGAGCCUUCCUUUUGGCUGACAGUCAUGAAAAGGGUGUCUGCCAAGACCCAUGGAGGAGAAGAAAAAUAACAAGACACACACACACACACACACACACAAAAAAAAAAAAAAAAACCCUAAAAGCAAACAAAAAUAAAAGCCCUGCCUGCCCAGGAGAAGAGAAGAACAAACAGCUCCGCUGGACCAAGGUCAGGACAGACAGGAAAACAUCCUGGCCCACACCACAGGGACAGGAAGUUUCCUUCAAUGUCUUGCUGCUUUGCUCAAGGGGAAAUACCACCCAUCCUGAGAC